GGCUAACGCUGGCGGCGUGUCUUAGCCAUGCAAGUCGAGCGGACUUAUGGGGUAACUUAUAAGUCAGCGGCGGACGGCGGAGUAACACGUAGCUAACCUACCCUCUGGACGGGGAUAACCUACCGAAAGGUGGGCUAAUACCCGAUGUAGUCAUCCUGUAUAGGGGUGAUGAAAGGUGGGCUUCUGUUUACAAGCUCAUGCUGGAGGAGGGGGCUGCGGCCUAUCAGGUAGUUGGUAGGGUAAUAGCCUACCAAGCCGAUGACGGGUAGCCGGCCUGAGAGGGUGACCGGCCCGAGGGGCACGUGAGAUACGGGUCCCACGUCCUACGGGAGGCAGCAGGCUAGAAAUUUGGGCAAUGGGGGAAACCCUGACCCAGUGACGCCGCGUGCAGGAAGGAGCCCUUCGGGGUGUAAACUGCUGUCGUGUAGGGAGAAGGGUACUAAGGUGAACAAUCUUAGUACUUGACGGUACUACAGGAGGAAGCCCAGGCUAACCUCGUGCCAGCAGCCGCGGUAAGAUAGCGUACU
rnacentral:rRNA from 1 species